AGUGAACGCUGGCGGUAGGCCUAACACAUGCAAGUCGAACGGCAGCACAGUAAGAGCUUGCUCUUACGGGUGGCGAGUGGCGGACGAGUGAGGAGGACAUCGGAAUCUACUUUUUCGUGGGGGAUAACGUAGGGAAACUUACGCUAAUACCGCAUACGACCUACGGGUGAAAGCAGGGGAUCUUCGGACCUUGCGCGAUUGAAUGAGCCGAUGUCGGAUUAGCUAGUUGGCGGGGUAAAGGCCCACCAAGGCGACGAUCCGUAGCUGGUCUGAGAGGAUGAUCAGCCACACUGGAACUGAGACACGGUCCAGACUCCUACGGGAGGCAGCAGUGGGGAAUAUUGGACAAUGGGCGCAAGCCUGAUCCAGCCAUACCGCGUGGGUGAAGAAGGCCUUCGGGUUGUAAAGCCCUUUUGUUGGGAAAGAAAAGCAGCAGGUUAAUACCCCGCUGUUCUGACGGUACCCAAAGAAUAAGCACCGGCUAACUUCGUG
rnacentral:rRNA from 1 species